rnacentral:tRNA from 1 species
UCCAUCCCCAGCAGGGCCUGUUCGUCUUCGAGAUCAAGGCCGGAGCGGUCCAGAUCCGCGACGGGCGGUGGUUCUAUGCCUCCGGGCUGGAG